AUUGAACGCUGGCGGCAGGCCUAACACAUGCAAGUCGAGCGGAUGAAGGGAGCUUGCUCCUGGAUUCAGCGGCGGACGGGUGAGUAAUGCCUAGGAAUCUGCCUGGUAGUGUGGUAUAACGUCCGGAAACGGGCGCUAAUACCGCAUACGUCCUUAGGGAGAAAGUGGGGGAUCUUCGGACCUCACGCUAUCAGAUGAGCCUAGGUCGGAUUAGCUAGUUGGUGGGGUAAAGGCCUACCAAGGCGACGAUCCGUAACUGGUCUGAGAGGAUGAUCAGUCACACUGGAACUGAGACACGGUCCAGACUCCUACGGGAGGCAGCAGUGGGGAAUAUUGGACAAUGGGCGAAAGCCUGAUCCAGCCAUGCCGCGUGUGUGAAGAAGGUCUUCGGAUUGUAAAGCACUUUAAGUUGGGAGGAAGGGCAGUAAGUUAAUACCUUGCUGUUUUGACGUUACCAAAAGAAUAAGCACCGGCUAACUUCGUG
rnacentral:rRNA from 1 species